GCUCAGUUAGGCAGAAUAUAGAGUGAAAACGGAAUGAGACAGGGAAGAUUAGCAUGGCCCCCGUGCAAGGGUGACACGCAGACUCACGAAGUGUUCCGCGUUUUC